GUACGUGAAACUGCUUAGAGGUUAAGCCCGAUGAACCUGAAUAUCCGUUAUGGAAAAUUCAUCACUAAUACUAUGAUAUUUAUAAUAUUAUAGAAAUGGUGUGCAAUUUUUCCAUAUAAGGACAUUGUAAUCUGUUAAUGUAUUAAAUAUUUAUUAAAAGAUCUUAUACAUAAGUUUAUUCAAAUUAGUUAUUUUCGGAUUUCUAACAUAGAAUAAAUGUAUUUGAUUUAAUAAAUCAUUGACAGAUUUAAUUAUAAUAUAGUGCUUAAAUUUUGAAAGAAAUUUUACAAUAAUAUGAUAAUUCAAUUUGUUAUAUUUAUUGUAUGCACUUAUAUGAUUAACAAUGCGAUAGAUUCAGGAUACCUUCGGGACCCGUCUUGAAACACGGACCAAGGAGUCUAACAUAUGUGCAAGUCAUUGGGUAUUUUUAAUAAAACCCAAUGGCAUAAUUAACUUAACUGUUUUUUAAAUGGGAUUAGUUUAUAUUUUAUUAUGAAAUAUUAAUUCAAUCCCGGGGCGUUCUAUAUAGUUAUGCAUAAUGAUAUUUAUAUUAUUUAUGUCUCUAACU
rnacentral:rRNA from 1 species